rnacentral:rRNA from 1 species
GCGGAGGGAUCAUUACUGAGUGAGGGCCUUCGGGCUCGACCUCCAACCCUUUGUGAACACAACUUGUUGCUUCGGGGGCGACCCUGCCGUUUCGACGGCGAGCGCCCCCGGAGACCUUUAAACACUGCAUCUUUGCGUCGGAGUUUAAGUAAAUUAAACAAAACUUUCAACAACGGAUCUCUUGGUUCUGGCAUCGAUGAAGAACGCAGCGAAAUGCGAUAAGUAAUGUGAAUUGCAGAAUUCAGUGAAUCAUCGAAUCUUUGAACGCACAUUGCGCCCUUUGGUAUUCCGAAGGGCAUGCCUGUUCGAGCGUCAUUUCACCACUCAAGCCUGGCUUGGUAUUGGGCGCCGCGGUCAAUCCGCGCGCCUCAAAGUCUCCGGCUGAGCUGUCCGUCUCUAAGCGUUGUGAUUUCAUUAAUCGCUUCGGAGUGCGGGCGGCCGCGGCCGUUAAAUCUUUCACAAGGUUGACCUCGGAUCAGGUAGGGAUACCCGCUG